rnacentral:rRNA from 1 species
UGGGGAAUAUUGCACAAUGGGCGCAAGCCUGAUGCAGCCAUGCCGCGUGUGUGAAGAAGGCCUUCGGGUUGUAAAGCACUUUCAGCGAGGAGGAAGGUGGUGAGCUUAAUACGCUCAUCAAUUGACGUUACUCGCAGAAGAAGCACCGGCUAACUCCGUGCCAGCAGCCGCGGUAAUACGGAGGGUGCAAGCGUUAAUCGGAAUUACUGGGCGUAAAGCGCACGCAGGCGGUUUGUUAAGUCAGAUGUGAAAUCCCCGGGCUCAACCUGGGAACUGCAUUUGAAACUGGCAAGCUAGAGUCUCGUAGAGGGGGGUAGAAUUCCAGGUGUAGCGGUGAAAUGCGUAGAGAUCUGGAGGAAUACCGGUGGCGAAGGCGGCCCCCUGGACGAAGACUGACGCUCAUGC